ACCCAUCAGUCUCCUUAUUUUACAGAAGUGAGAUCUCAGGAAAUGUUGCUUAUUCCAGAUGUUCUUCUAAGCAUAGAGGAAAGUUAGAGUUCAGUUUAGUCUCAAUGUUCCUUCGAUCUAAUACACUGGUGAAAACGAGGUCAGUGUGUGACUACAGCAUAUGGGUUUUUUUUUCUUUUCUUUUUCCCCCUCUAUUGACACCUGUGUGUGAUGGAUGCAGUAAUACACAGCUGUGUCUUCUGUUUGCAUGUUAUGUCCUCUCAGUCACUGUGCUGCUGGAGCCGAAAUACUGAACUUGAGAUUAUCUUUGAUAAUCACCACUACUCCAAUUGUGGUUUAUCCACUUCAGAGUUAUUCCUGCAGGUUGUCAAAUCUGAGAUGUGGCAUAACUUUUCAAUAACAGAGUAGCCGGAUACUUUACAGCUGAGGGUUAAAGAAUCUCCUGCCUCUAACAUCACUGAGGUGACCUGAGUUCUAUUGCACAUCCCACAUCUGAAAGAGAUGUCACAAUUUCAGUCACAAAUGUGUGUACAGUAGGUUAUAACUGUAAUUCACUACAGUAGAAGCUUUGAGUCCAUUAUUGAGGUGAAUGUCACAGGAUGAAGCUGCUAGCAGCAGCAAAAAUGGAAGGGACAUCAUUGAACCAAAAGCAGUGCUAAAUGUGUAUCCUGCAGGUUUUACUAAUUACAAUGGAAAUGCUCUUUAGUGAUAGCCUUGGUUUGUAUUAACUGAAGACAGAACAAUUGAUUUAAAUUUAGUACUAGAAAUGACCAUCAUAUGCUGCAAAGACAUCUGUCAAUACCAAACAUUUGUAACUAGGAGAGCACAUCACAUUUGAAUGAAAUUGUCUUUUAUACAUUUGAAGUAAGAGCUUCAUUCUGGUCAAGGUUGCAUUUGAAUCUGGAGACUAUUACUUCACAUUGGGUGUGAGGCAGGAAGACCUCCUGGAUGGGACGCCCUUCUAUCAUGCACACACCACACCCAUUCACAUGCUCAUUCAUGACAUACAUUUACCAGCUUGUUUUUAGAUAGUGGGAGGAAACUGGAGAUCCCAGAGGAAACCCACAUGAACAUAGGAAGAAGAUGAUGAAACACCACACAGACGCAUGUAGGAACUUCUAUAUUGGCUGGAGCUCAUUACACCGACUCUUGGAAACAUAGCGGACAGUCAAAGAAGUCACUAUUAGGCUUUUUCAAAGGAGAAGUAUCACUGUGGGUCACGGGCACAGUAAUACACUGCAGUGUCUUCUGUCCUCACGCUGUUCAUCUGCAGAUACACCUGCAUCUUACUGUUGUCUCUGGAGAUGGUGAAGCGGCCAUUAACUGCACUG